GUUAGCCUAUCAGGUGGCUUCCUGAUUCUGGUAGAACGUCUGGACUCUGGCUCAGGUAUUUCCUGCACAGGGGUAUUUUCAUUUCUUUCAAUAUUGUCCUCAAUCAGUAUUUCACUAUCAUCGUCCUCUUUCUCCCUUAACAGGUUACAUCCUAUUCCUGAUCAAAUCCUCAGUACACUCAUCAUUGUUGGCAUCAACGGCCUUGGAAUCCAGUUCCUUGACAGGACAAUAACAGAAAGUGCACAAGUGGGAGAGAGUGGAUGGGACGGCGUCAGAAAGGUCCUGGAGCUGGGACACUUUCAAGGAUCACCCGAAGCACAACCAAACGAUAUGCACGAGGCUGUUGGCUCUAACAUUUUAGUGUCCCCUUCGGUAGAAAUCACAUUCCGCAUUCCCCGCUGUAAAAAAAGAUACCCCGUCGGGGUGCCCCCUCUAACACUGGGCCCUUGGAACUGUCCUGUUUUGACAACCUUCCCUCCGCUUACAGUGCCCCUGAUUGCAGGUUCCCCUCUCAAACUGUUCAACACAUUUUCACUGCACAAAUGUACACAUCUCUUGUAAUGAGAUGCAUUACUAAAGAUGUUUUUUACAGAAACUGUAGUUUUCCACCAAAAUAAAAGAUCAACUGGUAUCGGACAUAAGGGUACAAGUGAUGUAUUGGUAUUGUUUCUCUUGGAAGUGCUGCAAAAAAAUAUCCAUUUAUAUGCAAAAAUAUGCUAAAUUAUUUUACAAAAACCUUUAAAUAUUAUUGUAUUUGAAUUGUUCUUCUACAUGUUUUUAACAAUACAUACUGUACAUGUAUACUCUGCAUAACAUUUGGGAUUAUUUCCAUCUGUUUAAUACAGUAUGUUUCCAAAAUAAAACUGCUGUUUUACAAUUUUGAGCAUGUGGUAGUUUAUUGAAGUUGAUUUUAAAGCCAUUGCUGUCAGUCAUAAGAUUUUUCGCCUUUAUCAUGUACAGUGUUGAUCUAAAUGCAAACUAGGAUGUAAUUACACAUGAAAUUGUGUAUUUAUACAUGGUGCAAUUUAUGAAGGUUAAACAACGUUGUGUUAUCAAAGUAGAUUCACUUUUCAAAAUCAACACCUCAAUAUAAAUAUUUUAAUGUUUAACAUCAGCUAAUGUAACUAUCACAGAAUCAUCAACUACAUAGUUACAGUCUUAUAAAACAAAUAAAGCCACAUGCAGUAUAACAUCACUGUUUCCCGGUCUUUUCCAUUUGAAACAGGUAUAGUCAGCUGCAAAUAUGUCUUGACCCCAAAAAAAUUCUAACAAAACGUUUCUCAGUGGUUUACAGUAGUAUCAAAUGUACAUAAAAACAUACUAAAAGUUUACCAAAGUUUGACUCCAAGAAAGGCCCCGUUUUUCAAAAUGGCUGCCGCCAGGUCCUUAAAAUGACCACUACUCCUUGGUUUUCCUCCUAGACCAGAAAUAUUGGUGCCUGAUACAUGUUUUUGCCAUGUAAUAUUAUAACUAGCAUAUUUGCAUGAUAGAUAAGUGAUUACAAGUCCAAUUAUAUAUUAAAGCAAUUGGUUACAAGCAUAUUUAUGGGGAAAAUAUGUACAAUUUCCCUUAAGUAAAUGCAGGUACAUGUAAAAAAAAAAAAAAAAAAUAGAAUAUCAUGGAAAAGUUAUUUAUUUUUUGUAAUUUAAUUUAAAAAAGCAAACCUUUUAUAUUCUACAUUUAUUGCACAUGCACAAACUGAAAUAUGUAAAGAGUUUUUGUUUGAGUUCUGAUGGUUACGACUUACAGCUUCAGAAUCUCAAAAAAUUAGAAUAUUUUCUCAAAGAUCAAUCAAAAAAAUUCUACCUAACUAAAUUCUAGAACUAAAUUCUAGUUCUACCUACCUGGCACUUGGUCUGUUUCAGAGUCAGUGGUUAACAAGUGUCUGAGAUCUGCUCUACGGUGCCUUGUGUGGUCUUCUCCAUCAGCCUGGUUUUGCUGCCCCCUCUUUUGCCAAGUAUUCUGCCAGCUGUUUCCUGAAGCUUUCCCAGUGGCCUCCCCUAGCUGUUCCUGUUAACUGUUAUCAUGUUCUGUUAUCUAUUGUUCACUUCACUACCCUCUUGUAUCAGUCUGUUUUGUCAAUAAAACCUUAUUACCUCCCAAUGAAAUUGGGUCCUCCCUCCUAGAUCCCUGACAUAGGUGCUAAAUUCCUGCUGCAAAAUUAAAUCAGCAUCUCCAUUAAGCUUGUCAGCAGAUGGAAGCAUAAAGUGCUACGAAAUCUCCUGGUAGAUGGCUGCAUUGACUUUGGACUUGAUAAAACAUAAUGAACCAACACCAGCAGACACGGCACUCAAAUCAUCAUUGACUUCAGAAACUUCACACUGGACUUUGGAUUCUGUCCCUCUCCAGUCUUCCUCCAGACCUUGAAUGAAUGAAAUGCAAAAUUAACUUUUCAUCUGGACUGUGAACCACUGAGCAACAGUCCAGUUCUUUUUUUUUUCCUUAUCCCAGGUGAAAUGCUUCUGAUGUUUUUUUUUUGUUUUUUUUUUUUUUUGGUUCAUGAGUGGCUUAGUUUUAGGAGUGUGACAGCUGUAGCCCUUUUCUUGAAGAUGUCUGAGCUUGAUGACUCUUGAUGCACUGACUCCGGCUUCAGCCCACUCCUUGUGAAGCUCUCCCAAGUUCUUGAAUCUGCUUUUCCUGACAAUCUUCCCAAGGCUGAAGUCAUCCCUGUUGCUUAUGCACCUUUUCCUAUCACACUUUUUCCUUCCAGUCAACUUUCUAUAAAUAUAUUUUGAUACAGCACUCUGUGAACAGCCAGCCCUUUCAGCAAUGACCUUCUAUGGCUUAAUCCCCUAGUGGAGGGUUAUGAUG
ensembl:lncRNA